rnacentral:lncRNA from 1 species
UUAUUUCUCUUGCAGCCUUAAAGGGCCCAUCCCUCUUACCCUCCUCUCUCUCUCUCCAUAUAUAAUAUCUCUCUCGUUAUCUGCUUCAUCAUCACAGCCAAAAUAAUCUGGAUUCUCUCUGUUCAAACUCCUGUGCAUGGCAGGUCCUCUCUGCACCAUUUUUCAGAGAAAAAAAGAGACUUUAUUUUUUAACUAUACUGAGAAAAGCAAAUACAAAUUUGACGAGAAAGGAGAGUAAAGAGAGUAUGAAAACAACAUACUUUUGUUACCUGAAUCUAACAACUAAAGGGUUAUGGCAAAUAGAAAAAGAGAGGGUGUGGGUGUGGGUGUGGGUGUGGGUGUGGGGGUGGGCGUGGGUGUGUGUUGGGGGUACUGUUGCACCAGCAGUGUACUUUCAGUCAUUAGAGAGAGAGAGAGAGAGGGUGGAGAACAAUGAUGAUGAUGCAAGCAAAAUUGGAAGGGUUUUGAAGAAGAUCUGAUUGGGUCCGUUGGGAGAUCUUUGACAGGAUUUAUUCAUGCAAUUACGACACCUAUCUACUUCUUUUGGUUUCAGUACACUUGAGGUCCUGCAAUUUCGAGUGUGCACUCCACUGUACCAAAUAAUAUUGAAGAACAGUAAACUUAAAAUUCUAUAUUAGCCCACAUUUGAUAUAAUUUUAAUCUCAAGUCAAAGUUUUUAAUUAAAUUUAAUCACACAUUUUAUUGAAAUCACAACUUUUUAAUUAUAUAUUUUAUCAACUUUUAUCAAAAUCUAUUAAAUUUUGAUUUUAAUCUACACCAGCUAGGAGCUAAACAUAUGUUGCGUGAUUCAAUCACAAAUAUAUGAUAUUGGAAAUAAGUAAUAAAGUAGGUUAAGAGAUUUUAACUCAAGGGUCAUAAAUUUAAUGAACAUGCAUUAACACCACCCCACUAAAAGCAAGAAAGCAAGAGUGGUAAAUAUAAUUUACAUUUGGUUGCCCAGGAAUGCCCAAAUUAUUUAUAUAUGAUUUUGAUCAAUAUAAUUUAUAUUUAUCGAAAAAGAAAGCAAGCAAGACUGGGUGAAAUAGCCAACAAAAUGGGCAGCUAGAGACUUUUUAGAGGAUGAAUGAAAUGGACCCAUUAAUAAAAGAUAGACGUAUAGAGCCACACGAGUUAGAACAAAGGACAUAGAGAUAGCAUAGAGAUACAGAUAGAUCUAGAGAGAGUAAGAGGAGUGAGAAAACCAUUAUAAGUUACACUUUGGUGCAGCAGUUCCACUUAUUUCUCUUGCAGCCUUAAAGGGCCCAUCCCUCUUACCCUCCUCUCUCUCUCUCCAUAUAUAAUAUCUCUCUCGUUAUCUGCUUCAUCAUCACAGCCAAAAUAAUCUGGAUUCUCUCUGUUCAAACUCCUGUGCAUGGCAGGUCCUCUCUGCACCAUUUUUCAGAGAAAAAAAGAGACUUUAUUUUUUAACUAUACUGAGAAAAGCAAAUACAAAUUUGACGAGAAAGGAGAGUAAAGAGAGUAUGAAAACAACAUACUUUUGUUACCUGAAUCUAACAACUAAAGGGUUAUGGCAAAUAGAAAAAGAGAGGGUGCGGGUGUGGGUGUGGGUGUGGGGGUGGGCGUGGGUGUGUGUUGGGGGUACUGUUGCACCAGCAGUGUACUUUCAGUCAUUAGAGAGAGAGAGAGAGAGA